rnacentral:lncRNA from 1 species
UAUUUUUUAUUUUUUUAUAUUCUUCAUUCAUUUCUAUUCAAUGACUCAGAUUUAAUUUUUUUUUAAAUUGUAAUCCGCAAUAGUUGUCACUUUGAGAGAGAUACCAAUUACCAGGUACCCUAAAAAAAAGUAUUUUAGUCUUUUAAUAUAUAAAUAAUUUAAUAAUCUUGCCUCCGCUAUAAAAAAUUAAAUCUCUAUUCUUUCUUUAUUUUCUUUUUUUUUCUCUAUCUUUCCUUCUCAUCCACAGUAGAGAUGUAAAGGGGUAGAAUUUGGGGCGGAUUUUCAAAAAUCUGAAACCGAACCCGACUAUCAAACCCGAAACCCGAACCCGAACCCAAUCCUAUGAAUUUUAGAAAAUCAUGUCCACUUCCGUACCUGACUAGAAAUCCAAAACCUAAACCCUAAUCCGAAUCUGAAAAUCCAAACCCAAAACAUGCAUUUCUCUUUACAAUUAAAAUAUAUUAAGUUAAAUCUAAAUUUUUAAAAUACAUAUUCAAAUAAAAUAUCAAAUAUUUAUAUAUAUUAUAUAUAAAUAUAAUGUAAAAUAAAUUUAGGUUCCGAUCAGUUUUGGGUUUGGAUUAGAUACAAUCAAAAUCCAUACCAGAAUUUAAAUCCGUCAUAUUUUUAUUUUUGAUAUCCAUUUUCAAAACUAUAUCUAUUUAGUAUAGGUAAAUCCACUACGUUUGCCUUCGAGUUUGGAUUCGGAUUCAGAUAAAACUAUGGGUAUACGUACCCAUUGACAUUCGUAAUCCAUAGAUAUUUUGUCAUUUCAUAUCCGUAAUCCGCAGAUAUUUCAUUAAAAAAUAUUACAACAUAUUAAAUAUGUUGAAUUUAUUUUUUUUCCUACAUUCAAAUUUUUUUAAAGUUU